rnacentral:rRNA from 1 species
AUUGAACGCUGGCGGAAUGCUUUACACAUGCAAGUCGAGCGGCAGCGCGGGGGCAACCCUGGCGGCGAGCGGCGAACGGGUGAGUAACAUAUCGGAACGUACCCCGUCGUGGGGGAUAACACAGCGAAAGCUGUGCUAAUACCGCAUACGACCUGAGGGUGAAAGCGGGGGAUCGCAAGACCUCGCGCGAUGGGAGCGGCCGAUAUCGGAUUAGCUUGUUGGUGAGGUAAAGGCUCACCAAGGCGACGAUCCGUAGCUGGUCUGAGAGGACGACCAGCCACACUGGAACUGAGACACGGUCCAGACUCCUACGGGAGGCAGCAGUGGGGAAUUUUGGACAAUGGGGGGCAACCCUGAUCCAGCCAUUCCGCGUGAGUGAAGAAGGCCUUC